rnacentral:rRNA from 1 species
AGAUUGAACGCUAGCGGCAUGCCUAAUACAUGCAAGUCGANCGGUAAGGCUACUUCGGUAGUACACGAGCGGCGGACGGGUGAGUAAUGCGUAGGAAUCUACCCACGAGUGGGGGAUAGCCCGGAGAAAUCCGGAUUAAUACCGCAUAUGCCCUACGGGGUAAAGCGGGGGAUCGUAAGACCUCGCGCUGGUGGAUGAGCCUACGUCCGAUUAGUUAGUUGGUGGGGUAAAGGCCUACCAAGGCUACGACGGGUCGCUGGUCUGAGAGGACGACCAGCCACACUGGCACUGAGAUACGGCCCAGACUCCUACGGGAGGCAGC